rnacentral:rRNA from 1 species
AACGAACGCUGGCGGCAUGCCUAACACAUGCAAGUCGAACGAGAUCUUCGGGUCUAGUGGCGCACGGGUGCGUAACGCGUGGGAAUCUGCCCUUUGGUUCGGAAUAACAGUUGGAAACGACUGCUAACACCUGAUGAUGACGAAAGUCCAAAGAUUUAUCGCCAGAGGAUGAGCCCGCGUAGGAUUAGCUAGUUGGUGUGGUAAAGGCGCACCAAGGCGACGAUCCUUAGCUGGUCUGAGAGGAUGAUCAGCCACACUGGGACUGAGACACGGCCCAGACUCCUACGGGAGGCAGCAGUGGGGAAUAUUGGACAAUGGGCGAAAGCCUGAUCCAGCAAUGCCGCGUGAGUGAUGAAGGCCUUAGGGUUGUAAAGCUCUUUUACCCGGGAUGAUAAUGACAGUACCGGGAGAAUAAGCUCUGGCUAACUCCGUGCCAGCCGCCGCGGUAA